CUCUCCCUGCCUUCUCAAACAGCUCGUCCUCGAGCUGAACAUCUGGAAACUGCUGGCGGAAAUCGUCGAGCUUCUUCCAAGUCGCUUCCUCCUCUGGCAGGCCGGUCCACUGUACCAAGACAUGCCAGACGCCGUGACGCUGCUGUGCCUGCAGCACCUUCGCCACCUGUGCGGAAGCUGGAAGGAGGCGGCCAUCUGAUGUAGGAGGAAGGGCCGGCGUCGCUGCAGGAGGGUCCCCGCGGUAGGCCUUCAGUAAGCCGACAUGGAAGACAUCGUGGAGGCGAGAACCAGCUGGCAGCUCCAAGCGGUAUGCGAGUGUGUCGACACGCUCCAGCACACGAAAGGGACCGGCGUAGCGAGGUCCCAAUUUGCGCUUGGAGCGCGGGUCCAGAGACUGCGUGGUCCUGUGGAGGAGGCGCAGCCACACCCAAUCGCCCACU
rnacentral:lncRNA from 1 species